UUAAGCGACUAAGCGUACACGGUGGAUGCCCUGGCAGUCAGAGGCGAUGAAGGGCGUGCUAAUCUGCGAUAAGCGCCGGUAAGGUGAUAUGAACCGUUAUAACCGGCGAUACCCGAAUGGGGAAACCCAGUGUGAUUCGUCACACUAUCAUUAACUGAAUCCAUAGGUUAAUGAGGCGAACCGGGGGAACUGAAACAUCUAAGUACCCCGAGGAAAAGAAAUCAACCGAGAUUCCCCCAGUAGCGGCGAGCGAACGGGGAGGAGCCCAGAGCCUGAAUCAGCAUGUGUGUUAGUGGAAGCGUCUGGAAAGGCGCGCGAUACAGGGUGACAGCCCCGUACACAAAAGCGCAUGUGCUGUGAGCUCGAUGAGUAGGGCGGGACACGUGGUAUCCUGUCUGAAUAUGGGGGGACCAUCCUCCAAGGCUAAAUACUCCUGACUGACCGAUAGUGAACCAGUACCGUGAGGGAAAGGCGAAAAGAACCCCGGCGAGGGGAGUGAAAAAGAACCUGAAACCGUGUACGUACAAGCAGUGGGAGCACAGGUUUACCUGUGUGACUGCGUACCUUUUGUAUAAUGGGUCAGCGACUUAUAUUCUGUAGCAAGGUUAACCGUAUAGGGGAGCCGUAGGGAAACCGAGUCUUAACCGGGCGUUAAGUUGCAGGGUAUAGACCCGAAACCCGGUGAUCUAGCCAUGGGCAGGUUGAAGGUUGGGUAACACUAACUGGAGGACCGAACCGACUAAUGUUGAAAAAUUAGCGGAUGACCUGUGGCUGGGGGUGAAAGGCCAAUCAAACCGGGAGAUAGCUGGUUCUCCCCGAAAGCUAUUUAGGUAGCGCCUCGUGAAUUCAUCUCCGGGGGUAGAGCACUGUUUCGGCUAGGGGGCCAUCCCGGCUUACCAACCCGAUGCAAACUGCGAAUACCGGAGAAUGUUAUCACGGGAGACACACGGCGGGUGCUAACGUCCGUCGUGAAGAGGGAAACAACCCAGACCGCCAGCUAAGGUCCCAAAGUCAUGGUUAAGUGGGAAACGAUGUGGGAAGGCCCAGACAGCCAGGAUGUUGGCUUAGAAGCAGCCAUCAUUUAAAGAAAGCGUAAUAGCUCACUGGUCGAGUCGGCCUGCGCGGAAGAUGUAACGGGGCUAAACCAUGCACCGAAGCUGCGGCAGCGAACGUAUCACCCAAGACAACUUUACGGAGUUGACGAUUGACGGAGCGAAGCGACGUCAAAGCGUUCAUUAAAGUCGAGUUGGCUUAGGGAUACGUUCGUUGGGUAGGGGAGCGUUCUGUAAGCCUGUGAAGGUGUGUCGUGAGGCAUGCUGGAGGUAUCAGAAGUGCGAAUGCUGACAUAAGUAACGAUAAAGCGGGUGAAAAGCCCGCUCGCCGGAAGACCAAGGGUUCCUGUCCAACGUUAAUCGGGGCAGGGUGAGUCGACCCCUAAGGCGAGGCCGAAAGGCGUAGUCGAUGGGAAACGGGUUAAUAUUCCCGUACUUGGUGUUACUGCGAAGGGGGGACGGAGAAGGCUAUGUUGGCCGGGCGACGGUUGUCCCGGUUUAAGCGUGUAGGUGUGUGUUCCAGGUAAAUCCGGUUCACUUUAACACUGAGGCGUGAUGACGAGGCACUACGGUGCUGAAGCAACAAAUGCCCUGCUUCCAGGAAAAGCCUCUAAGCAUCAGGUAACAUCAAAUCGUACCCCAAACCGACACAGGUGGUCAGGUAGAGAAUACCAAGGCGCUUGAGAGAACUCGGGUGAAGGAACUAGGCAAAAUGGUGCCGUAACUUCGGGAGAAGGCACGCUGACACGUAGGUGAAGUGAUUUACUCACGGAGCUGAAGUCAGUCGAAGAUACCAGCUGGCUGCAACUGUUUAUUAAAAACACAGCACUGUGCAAACACGAAAGUGGACGUAUACGGUGUGACGCCUGCCCGGUGCCGGAAGGUUAAUUGAUGGGGUCAGCGCAAGCGAAGCUCCUGAUCGAAGCCCCGGUAAACGGCGGCCGUAACUAUAACGGUCCUAAGGUAGCGAAAUUCCUUGUCGGGUAAGUUCCGACCUGCACGAAUGGCGUAAUGAUGGCCAGGCUGUCUCCACCCGAGACUCAGUGAAAUUGAACUCGCUGUGAAGAUGCAGUGUACCCGCGGCAAGACGGAAAGACCCCGUGAACCUUUACUAUAGCUUGACACUGAACAUUGAGCCUUGAUGUGUAGGAUAGGUGGGAGGCUUUGAAGUGUGGACGCCAGUCUGCAUGGAGCCGACCUUGAAAUACCACCCUUUAAUGUUUGAUGUUCUAACGUGGACCCGUAAUCCGGGUUGCGGACAGUGUCUGGUGGGUAGUUUGACUGGGGCGGUCUCCUCCUAAAGAGUAACGGAGGAGCACGAAGGUUGGCUAAUCCUGGUCGGACAUCAGGAGGUUAGUGCAAUGGCAUAAGCCAGCUUGACUGCGAGCGUGACGGCGCGAGCAGGUGCGAAAGCAGGUCAUAGUGAUCCGGUGGUUCUGAAUGGAAGGGCCAUCGCUCAACGGAUAAAAGGUACUCCGGGGAUAACAGGCUGAUACCGCCCAAGAGUUCAUAUCGACGGCGGUGUUUGGCACCUCGAUGUCGGCUCAUCACAUCCUGGGGCUGAAGUAGGUCCCAAGGGUAUGGCUGUUCGCCAUUUAAAGUGGUACGCGAGCUGGGUUUAGAACGUCGUGAGACAGUUCGGUCCCUAUCUGCCGUGGGCGCUGGAGAACUGAGGGGGGCUGCUCCUAGUACGAGAGGACCGGAGUGGACGCAUCACUGGUGUUCGGGUUGUCAUGCCAAUGGCACUGCCCGGUAGCUAAAUGCGGAAGAGAUAAGUGCUGAAAGCAUCUAAGCACGAAACUUGCCCCGAGAUGAGUUCUCCCUGAGACUUAGAGUCUCCUGAAGGAACGUUGAAGACGACGACGUUGAUAGGCCGGGUGUGUAAGCGCAGCGAUGCGUUGAGCUAACCGGUACUAAUGAACCGUGAGGCUUAACCUU
rnacentral:rRNA from 1 species